rnacentral:rRNA from 1 species
GAGUAGUAAUAGUUAUGGUCUUGAAACUUAAAGAAUUUGGCGGUAUUUUAGUCUAUUCAGAGGAGCUUGUUCUGUAAUCGAUAAUCCACGAAAACUUUACUUAUAUUUGUAUUUUAGUUUGUAUACCGCCGUUAUAGAUUAUCUUAUUAGAGAAUUAAUUUUCUUGAUUUUAAGAAAGUAUAUCAGGUCAAGGUGCAGCUUAUAUAUAAGGAAGAAAUGAGCUACAAUAAAUUUAUUUAAACUAAUUAUGUGUUGAAAUAUUAUUAUGAGGGUGGAUUUGAUAGUAAAAUUAAUUAUUUUGUUAAUUUGAUUAUAGCUCUAAAAUAUGC